rnacentral:rRNA from 1 species
UAAGCACUUAAGGUGCGGAGCCGUAGCGAAAGCGAGUUUUAACUGAGCGUUCAGUUACUUGACGUAGACCCGAAACCGGGCGACCUACCCAUGAGCAGGAUGAAGCGAAAGUAAAAUUUCGUGGAGGUCCGAACCCACGAGCGUUGAAAAGCUCGGGGAUGACUUGUGGGUAGCGGUGAAAUUCCAAUCGAGCCCGGAGAUAGCUGGUUCUCCCCGAAAUAGCUUUAGGGCUAGCCGCAAGGUGAGAGAUACGGAGGUAGAGCACUGAAUGUCCUAGGGGGUAUUGCACCUACCGAAGACUAUCAAACUCCGAAUGCCGUCAUCUUAUACUUGGGAGUCAGACUGUGGGUGAUAAGAUUCAUAGUCGAAAGGGCAACAGCCCAGAUCGUCAGCUAAGGUCCCUAAAUGUAAGUUAAGUGGUAAAGGAUGUGGGAUUGCACAGACAACCAGGAUGUUGGCUUAGAAGCAGCCACUCAUUCAAAGAGUGCGUAAUAGCUCACUGGUCGAGUGAUCCUGCGCCGAAGAUUUCCGGGGCUAAAACUUACUACCGAAGCUACGGCAUCAGUAAUGAUGGGUAGGGGAGCUUCCCAUACGGGUUGAAGCAUGACCGUAAGGACAUGUGGACAGUAUGGGAGUGAGAAUGUUGGCA